CAACCAAACAUGUUUCCCUUAAAAAAAAAAAAAAAAAGUACCCAGAAGAACUUUCAACUUCUCUAAUUUGGAAAGUCAAAAGUUUAACUGGGCGCCAGGAAGCUGAUGGCCAAACCCUGCUUCUCGCCUCGUCAUCCCGGCAGGCAGCGUGGGAGCUGUCACUCAGUCUUGACCACCUCCCUUUUGAUACAGCUCCAAGUUCAACUGGAAAACACCCCCCACUGAAUGACUUCCUGUCCGUGACUGCUCCCUGCCGAAGUAGUGGAGCUGUCCAGUGGAGAUUCUGAGGCAGCAAAGGCUAAAAUAAAGACGUGCUGCUGACGAUA